rnacentral:rRNA from 1 species
GACGAACGCUGGCGGCGUGCUUAACACAUGCAAGUCGAACGGAAAGGCCCUGCUUUUGUGGGGUGCUCGAGUGGCGAACGGGUGAGUAACACGUGAGUAACCUGCCCUUGACUUUGGGAUAACUUCAGGAAACUGGGGCUAAUACCGGAUAGGAGCUCCUGCUGCAUGGUGGGGGUUGGAAAGUUUCGGCGGUUCGGGAUGGACUCGCGGCUUAUCAGCUUGUUGGUGGGGUAGUGGCUUACCAAGGCUUUGACGGGUAGCCGGCCUGAGAGGGUGACCGGCCACAUUGGGACUGAGAUACGGCCCAGACUCCUACGGGAGGCAGCAGUGGGGAAUAUUGCACAAUGGGCGGAAGCCUGAUGCAGCAACGCCGCGUGCGGGGUGACGGCCUUCGGGUUGUAAACCGCUUUCGCCUGUGACGAAGCGUGAGUGACGGUAAUGAGUAAAGAAGCACCGGCUAACUACGUG